rnacentral:rRNA from 1 species
AAUAUUGGACAAUGGUCGGAAGUCUGAUCCAGCCAUGCACCUAGUUUGAAGAAGGACUUCGGAUUGUAAAGUACUUUAAUUGGGGAGGAAGGUUUUACACCUCAUACGUUUGAACUUUGACGUUACCAAAAGAAUAAGCACCGGCGAACUCCGUGCCAGCAGCCGCGGUAAUACGAAUGGUGCAAGCGUUAAUCGGAAUUACUGGGCGUAAAGCGCGCGUAGGUGGUUCGUUAAGUUGGAAGUGAAAGACCCGGGCUCAACCUGGGAAUUGCUUUCAAAAAUGGCGAGCUAGAGUACGGUAGAGGGUGGUGGAAUUUCCUGUGUAGCGGUGAAAUGCGUAGAUAUAGGAAGGAACAUCAGUGGCGAAGGCGACCACCUGGACUGAUACUGACACUGAGGUGCGAAAGCGUGGGGAGCAAACAGG